rnacentral:rRNA from 1 species
CGGGUGCUUGCACCUGGUGGCGAGUGGCGAACGGGUGAGUAAUACAUCGGAACGUACCUUAUCGUGGGGGAUAACGCAGCGAAAGUUGCGCUAAUACCGCAUACGCCCUGAGGGGGAAAGCGGGGGACCGUGAGGCCUCGCGCGAUUAGAGCGGCCGAUGUCUGAUUAUCUUGUGGGUGGGGUACAAGCUCACCAAGGCAAUGAUCAGUGCCUGGUCUGAGAGGACGAUCAGCCACACUGGGACUGAGACACGGCCCAAACUCCUACGGGAGGCAGCAGUGGGGAAUUUUGGACAAUGGGGGCAACCCUGAUCCAGCAAUGCCGCGUGAGUGAAGAAGCCCUUCGGGUUGGUAAGCUCUUUUGUCAGGGAAGAAACAGCAGCUUUAACACAGUCUGCGAAUGACGGUACCUGAAGAAUAAGCACCGGCUAACUACGUGCCAGCAGCCGCGGUAAUACGUAGGGUGCGAGCGUUAAUCGGAAUUACUGGGCGUAAAGCGUGCGCAGGCGGUUAUACAAGACAGGCGUGAAAUCCCCGGGCUUAACCUGGGAAUGGCGUCUGUGACUGUAUAGCUAGAGUGUGUCAGAGGGGGGUGGAAUUCCACGUGUAGCAGUGAAAUGCGUAGAUAUGUGGAGGAACACCAAUGGCGAAGGCAGCCCCCUGGGAUAACACUGACGCUCAUGCACGAAAGCGUGGGGAGCAAACAGGAUUAGAUACCCUGGUAGUCCACGCCCUAAACGAUGCUGACUAGUUGUUGGGAAUUUACAUUCUCAGUAACGUAGCUAACGCGUGAAGUCAGCCGCCUGGGGAGUACGGUCGCAAGAUUAAA